UUCUUCGGAACGCGAGUACAGUGGCGGACGGGUGAGUAACACGUGGGGAACCUGCCCUCAAGUUGGGAACAACCCGCCUAACGGCGGGCUAAUACCGAAUGUGGUUGUCAGUCCGCAUGGUAUGACAACUAAAGGUGGCCUCUCCUUGGAAGCUACCGCUUGUGGAUGGCCCCGCGCUCAAUUAGCUAGUUGGUAGGGUAACGGCCUACCAAGGCGACGAUUGAUAGCCGACCUGAGAGGGUGAUCGGCCACACUGGGAUUGAGAUAAGGCCCAGUCUCCUACGGGAGCCAGCAGUCUAGAAAUUUGGGCAAUGGGCGAAAGCCUGACCCAGCGACGCCGCGUGGGGGAUGAAGCUUCUCGGAGUGUAAACCCCUGUUAGGUGGGACGAAAGCCCGUAUACGAAUAGUAGGCGGGUUUGACGGUACCACCAGAGGAAGCUCCGGCUAACUCCGUGCCAGCAGCCGCGGUAAUACGGGGGGAGCAAGCGUUGUUCGGAGUUAUUGGGCGUAAAGGGCGUACAGGCGGUGGUGUCAGUCAGAUGUGAAAUCCCCCGGCUCAACCGGGGACCUGCAUUUGAUACUGCAUCACUUGAGUACAGGAGAGGAGAGCGGAAUUUUCGGUGUAGCGGUGGAAUGUGUAGAUAUCGAAAAGAACACCAGUGGCGAAGGCGGCUCUCUGGCCUGAUACUGACGCUGACGCGCGAAAGCUAGGGGAGCAAACAGGAUUAGAUACCCUGGUAGUCCUAGCCGUAAACGUUGGGCACUAGGUGUUGGAGGUAUCGACCCCUUCAGUGCCGAAGCUAACGCAUUAUGUGCCCCGCCUGGGGAGUACGGCCGCAAGGCUGAAACUCAAAGGAAUUGACGGGGGCCUGCACAAGCGGUGGAGCAUGUGGUUUAAUUCGAGGCAACGCGAAGAACCUUACCUGGUCUUGACAUGUACCUGAAGCCCUGGAGACAGGGCCCCUU
rnacentral:rRNA from 1 species